rnacentral:lncRNA from 1 species
CUCGUUCGGACACCCAGGCCCUGACGUCAGAAAGAGAAGGGAGGCUCGAGCCCAACUCGAUUCCUCCCGAGGCCGCAGCGGCCGCCGACGUAGGUCGCUCGGGCUCGCGUGUCUCUGCCCGAACCUCUUCAGCCGGCUGUGCGGCCGGCACAUCUUCGACCGCUUCCUCGAUCGCCUGUCCCUCGGAUGGGGCUGCUCCCUCGACCGCUCGUUCCUCGGACGGGGCUUUAGUGCGCACUAUCAGUACUG